CGUCCGCUCUUCGUGUUCACAGCGGACCUUGAUUUAAUGUGCUACAAUUAAGGCACGCGGUGAAUGCCAAGAGCGGUGU
rnacentral:pre_miRNA from 1 species